rnacentral:misc_RNA from 1 species
UGAAUGCUAUGUAAGGAAUGGUGGAGAUGUGGAGAUUAUAGAAAAAGAUGCAUUGGAUGACUACAAUGGACCUCCCGUUUCCUCCUCAAGGUUGCCAUUGGUGUUGUCUGACAAAGUCCAUAGAUUGAAGGCACUUGUUGAGUGUGAAGGAACUUCAAUAGAUUUGAGUGGCGACAUGGGUGCUGUAGGACGGGUUGUAGUUUCAGAUUCCUCAUCUGCAAAAAAUGAACUUUGCCUAGAUCUGAAAG